rnacentral:rRNA from 1 species
CCUACGGGAGGCAGCAGUAGGGAAUCUUCCACAAUGGGCGCAAGCCUGAUGGAGCAACACCGCGUGAGUGAAGAAGGGUUUCGGCUCGUUAAGCCCUGUUGUUGGAGAAGAAAGUGCGUGAGCGUAACUGUUCACGCAGUGACGGUAUCCAACCAGAAAGUCCCGGCUAAAUACGUGCCAACAGCCGCGGUUAUACGAGGGUGGCAAGCGUUAUCCGGAUUUUUUGGGCGUAAAGCGAGCGCAGGCGGUUGCUUAGGUCUGCUGUGAAAGCGUUCGGCUUAACCGAAGAAGUGCAGCGGAAACCGGGCGACUUGAGUGAAGAAGAGGACAGUGGAACGCGAUGUGUAGCGGUGGAAUGCAUAGAUA